rnacentral:rRNA from 1 species
GACAGAGGGUGCAAACGUUGCUCGGAAUUACUGGGCGUAAAGCGCGUGUAGGCUGACCGGAAAGUCGGGCGUGAAAGCCCUGGGCUCAACCCAGGAACUGCACUCGAAACUCCCGGUCUAGAGUGGUGGAGAGGGAAGCGGAAUUCCUGGUGUAGAGGUGAAAUUCGUAGAUAUCAGGAGGAACACCAGUGGCGAAGGCGGCUUCCUGGACACCAACUGACGCUGAGACGCGAAAGCGUGGGGAGCAAACAGG